rnacentral:lncRNA from 1 species
CGUCCGUCUCAUAUAUUUUUUGCCACGCUGCCACUGGAGCCCGAGACUGCUCCACCGAAAAAGCUCCCUCCUGACUGCUCCACCGAAGAAGCGUGGAAGCGAAGCCAAGGCAGCUGAGAUGGCACAAGCCAUGGCGUCCAUGACCGGCCUCUCGCAGGGCGUGCUGCCCAGCAGGCGCGCCGCCAGCAGGGCUAGGACGGCCGUCGUCAGGGCGUCCGCCGACGGCGAGGCCGGCCGCCGCGCCGUGCUCGGGCUGGUGGCCACCGGCAUCGUCGGCAGCGUCUUCUCCCAGGCGGCGCACGCCGAGGCCGUCAAGACCAUCAAGAUCGGCCCCCCGCCGCCGCCCUCCGGUGGACUUC